AUUCGCGGGAAGUAAAAAGUCGUAACAAGGUCUCCGUAGGUGAACCUGCGGAGGGAUCAUUACACAAAUAUGAAGGCGGGCUGGAACCUCUCGGGGUUACAGCCUUGCUGAAUUAUUCACCCUUGUCUUUUGCGUACUUCUUGUUUCCUUGGUGGGUUCGCCCACCACUAGGACAAACAUAAACCUUUUGUAAUUGCAAUCAGCGUCAGUAACAAAUUAAUAAUUACAACUUUCAACAACGGAUCUCUUGGUUCUGGCAUCGAUGAAGAACGCAGCGAAAUGCGAUAAGUAGUGUGAAUUGCAGAAUUCAGUGAAUCAUCGAAUCUUUGAACGCACAUUGCGCCCUUUGGUAUUCCAAAGGGCAUGCCUGUUCGAGCGUCAUUUGUACCCUCAAGCUUUGCUUGGUGUUGGGCGUCUUGUCUCUAGCUUUGCUGGAGACUCGCCUUAAAGUAAUUGGCAGCCGGCCUACUGGUUUCGGAGCGCAGCACAAGUCGCACUCUCUAUCAGCAAAGGUCUAGCAUGCAUUAAGCCUUUUUUUCAACUUUUGACCUCGGAUCAGGUAGGGAUACCCGCUGAACUUAAGCAUAGCAUUCCUGCAACUC
rnacentral:rRNA from 1 species